GAUGAACGCUGGCGGCGUGCCUAAUACAUGCAAGUCGAACGGAGAGAGUAGCAAUACUGUCUUAGUGGCGAACGGGUGAGUAACGCGUUGGUGACCUGCCCCGAAGAGAGGGAUAACAGUUCGAAAGGACUGCUAAUACCCCAUGAUAUCUGCCUAGUUAGAGAGGGCAGAUGAAAGGAGCAAUCCGCUUUGGGAGGGGCCUGCGUCCCAUCAGCUAGUUGGUAAGGUAAAGCUUACCAAGGCGAGACGGGUAGGGGCCUGAGAGGGUGACCCCCCACACUGGCGACUGAACAACGGCCGACACACCUACGGGUGGGCAG
rnacentral:rRNA from 1 species